CUUCUACGUAAAAUUGCAUCCAUAUCUCAUUCACCCUGUUGUCAAACUCAAAUGGAGAGUUGUACUGUGCAACAGUAUAGACGGUAGUGGAAUCAGGACGGCUUUUCUCAAUGGCAGCAGCCCAAAUGGUGUCAGCAAGACUAGCUUGCAAGGCAGCAGCUUCCUCUCCAACAUUUGAGUCAGUGACAAAUCCAUUGAAUUGCCUUACAGCUACAUAUGUCGGUUUCCAUCUCUGAACAUGGAGGCCUUUCGCUGGAGGUGGAUUAGCUUGGUUCUCUUUUGGGACAUAGAAACUGACAGUGAAUGAGGAUUCACAGAACGGUCCAUCA
rnacentral:lncRNA from 1 species